rnacentral:tRNA from 1 species
AUACCUUUAGUUUAAUUGGAUAAAGCGUCAACCUUCUAAGUUGAGUCAUAAAGGUUCAAAUCCUUUAGGGUAUU